GACGAACGCUGGCGGCGUGCUUAACACAUGCAAGUCGAGCGGAGCGGCGAACGGGUGAGUAACGCGAGAGUAACUGCCCCCCUCCCUGGGAUAACAGUUGGAAACGGCUGCUAAUACCGGAUAGUGGGGGAUGACUCGCGUCCUAUCAGCUUGUUGGGGGGGUAGUGGCCUACCAGGGCGACGACGGGUAGCCGGCCUGGGAGGGCGACCGGCCACAUUGGGCUGAGAUACGGCCCAAAGUCCUACGGGAGGCAGCUUUGGGGAUUAUUGCACAAUGGGGGAAACCCUGAUGCGUCAGCGCCGCGUGCGGGAUGACGGCCUUCGGGUUGUAAUCCGCAUUCAGCCUUGCCGCGGUAGUGGCAGAAGAAGCACCGGCUAACUACGUGCCAGCAGCCGCGGUAAUAC
rnacentral:rRNA from 1 species